UACGGAGGGCGCAAGCGUUAUCCGGAAUCACUGGGUUUAAAGGGUGCGUAGGCGGCUUGAUAAGUCAGGGGUGAAAGCCCGCAGCUUAACUGCGGAACUGCCUUUGAUACUGUCGAGCUUGAAAGAGGUUGAGGUCAGCGGAACGUGACAUGUAGCGGUGAAAUGCAUAGAUAUGUCACAGAACACCGAUUGCGAAGGCAGCUGGCUGGAACGACUUUGACGCUGAGGCACGAAAGCGUGGGGAGCGAACAGG
rnacentral:rRNA from 1 species